GCCCCCCCCACCCGCGCCAGGAGUGCGCAGGCGCGCCGACCGCCGAGUUUUCUGCGCUUCCUUCUCCCUCUCUCCAGACGUCCUGGUCGUUCGGUCCUAUGUCGCGCCGGGCCCUCCGGAGGCUGAGGGGGGAACAGCGCGGCCAGGAGCCCAUCGGGCCCAGCGCCCUGCAGUUCGACCUCCGUGAUGACGAUGACGCGGAAGAAGAAGGGCCCAAGCCGGAGCUGGGUGUCCGGCGCCCCGGGGGCGCAGGGAAGGAGGGCGUCCGAGUCAACAACCGCUUCGAGCUGAUAAACAUUGACGAUCUCGAGGAUGACCCUGGGGUGAACGGGGAGAGGUCUGGCUGUGCGCUCACAGACACUGCAGCACGAGGGAACAAAGGAAGGGCUCGGCGUGGAAACACAGAGAGCAAGACAGAUGGAGAUGUUGCCGGGACAGCGCCGCCGGAGCAGUCUAAUGCAAGUGGCAAACUCCGGAAGAAGAAAAAGAAACAGAAAAAUAAGAAAAGCAGCACGGGAGAAGCAUCGGAAAACGUACUAGAAGAUAUUGAUCGCAUCCUGGAGAGGAUUGAGGACAGCACUGGGUUGAACCAUCCCAGCCCAGCACCCCUGAGCUCCAGGAAGCACAUUCUCUACGUAGAGCACAGACACUUGAAUCCAGACACAGAACUGAAAAGGUAUUUUGGUGCCCGGGCAGUCCUGGGGGAACAAAGGCCACGGCAGAGACAGCGCGUGUACCCCAAGUGCACAUGGCUGACCACCCCUAAGAGCACCUGGCCCCGGUACAGCAAACCAGGUCUGUCCAUGCGGCUGCUGGAAUCAAAAAAAGGCCUCUCCUUCUUUGCGUUUGAGCACAGUGAGGAGUACCAGCAGGCUCAGCACAAGUUCCUGGUGGCCGUGGAGUCUAUGGAGCCAAACAACAUCGUGGUUCUGCUCCAGACGAGCCCUUAUCACGUUGACUCGCUGCUGCAGCUCAGCGAUGCCUGCCGCUUUCAAGAGGAUCAGGAGAUGGCUCGAGACCUCGUAGAGAGAGCGCUGUACAGCAUGGAAUGUGCAUUCCACCCCCUGUUCAGUCUCACCAGCGGGGCCUGCCGGCUGGAUUACCGCAGACCCGAGAACAGGAGCUUCUACUUGGCCCUCUACAAGCAGAUGAGCUUCCUGGAGAAGCGAGGCUGCCCGCGCACGGCGCUGGAGUACUGCAAGCUCAUUUUGAGUCUGGAGCCGGACGAGGACCCCCUCUGCAUGCUGCUGCUGAUCGACCACCUGGCCUUGCGGGCCCGGAACUACGAGUACCUGAUCCGCCUCUUCCAGGAGUGGGAGGCUCAUCGGAACCUGUCCCAGCUCCCAAAUUUUGCCUUCUCCGUUCCACUGGCGUAUUUCCUGCUGAGCCAGCAGACAGACCUCCCUGAGCACGAGCGGAGCUCUGCCAGGGAGAAGGCCUCUCUCUUGAUACAGCAGGCGCUCACCAUGUUCCCUGGAGUCCUCCUGCCUCUGCUCGAGUCCUGCAGCGUGCGGCCCGACAUCACGGUUUCCAGUCACAGCUUCUUUGGACCCAAUGCCGAAAUAAGCCAGCCCCCUGCCCUGAGCCAGCUGGUGAGCCUGUACCUCGGGAGGUCACACUUUCUCUGGAAAGAGCCUGCCACCAUGAGCUGGCUGGAGGAGAACGUCCGUGCGGUUCUGCAGACUGUGGACGCCGGGGACCCUGUCGUGGAAGCCUGUGAGAACCGGCGGAAGGUGCUCUACCAGCGUGCACCCAGGAAUAUCCACCGUCAUGUGAUCCUCUCUGAGAUCAAGGAAGCCGUGGCUGCCCUGCCCCCGCAGAUGCAUCCAGUCCACGCUGGAGUCGACUGAAGGACUCUGCUGGGAGAGGCAGAGGCCCCCCGGCAGCAUGCGUAGCAUCUUCGUUUUGUGUCCCUUUCUGAAGGACGUGACCACGCAGUCUGUGAUGGGGUUUGACCCUCUGCCUCCUUCGGACACAAUCUACUCCUACGUCAGGCCAGAGAGGCUGAGUCCCGUCAGCCACGGAAACACGAUCGCACUCUUCUUUAGGUCACUGUUGCCAAACUAUACCGUGGAGGGGGAGAGGCCCGAGGAAGGAGUGGCUGGGGGUCUGAACCGCAACCAGGGCCUGAACAGGCUGAUGCUGGCUGUGCGCGACAUGAUGGCCAACUUCCACCUCAACGACCUAGAGGCACCGCACGAGGACGACGUGGACGGGGAGGGGGAGUGGGACUGAGCGUCUGCAGAGGUCCCUGAAAGCCGUAAUGAUGUUGCUGAUUUCUGUGCUGGUCGGAAUCGGUCAGUUCCCUGAAGUAGAGAUGCUGACUGUAUCACUGACCUGGUCCACUGUUUCUCCUAUAAAUGUAAACAGGUCACGCU